rnacentral:lncRNA from 1 species
UUUGAUUUCACUUGAGAUAGGUGGAGUGAUCAGCUUGAGAUACGCGGAGAGCGAGAGAUACGCGGAGGCGUCGAGGAGAUUGAGAGAUACGCGGAGGCGUCGAGGAGAUCGAGAGAUACGCGGAGGUGUCGAGGAGAUCGAGAGGGAGGCGGAAUCGUCGAAGAGAGCGCCGGAGACGCGGAAUCGUCGACAAGAUCGAGAGAGAGAGAGAGGCGGAUUCGUCGAGGGAGACGCGGAAUCGUCGACCAGAGAGAGAGAGACGACGACGAUUCCACCGAUAGAGACUCCGGCUGAUGCCGUCGACGAGGAGAUUUCAUUGUCGCUGAGAGAUCUCCGUUUCGCCUUCGGUGUCGCCACGAGAGAAAGAUAGAAGACGAGACGGUAGUGAGAGAGAGAGAUUUUGUAUGAAUG